AGGGGGGCUCGGCAUUUUUGUGCAGUGUGUGUGUGCUGCCCUUUGGGCAGUACCUGGAGGCCUCGGGGAAAAAAUAGAAGAAGCUGCCUCUUGUGCAACACGUGAAGAGGGAGAGGGCCUCAGCAGAGAAGGUACAAGCUGCCUUUGCAGCUGGGCAGUACCGAGAAGAAGUCAGAGAAGGUGCGAGAAAAGAAAAACAAAACUCUGCUGCCCGUGGCAGCAAGGCAGAGGAGCAGUCGGCCCUUGCGCGCAGCGACUGGAAGAGCAAAACAGAAGCACUUAUCUUUUGGUUAAAUCUUUCCAAACUUUUAUUUUAUUUCUGUUUUUAAUAAUGUGUAAUUAAAUUUAUGUUGGCUAGAGGUUAAUUCAAAACCAUGAAUAUAUUUGUAAUAUGAAUUGAUUACCUUCGGUUGUGAUUUCAUAAGUUGUGAAUUCAAUUUACUUAUCCGUUCGUAUAAAAACUGAUUUGUGUAUGUUGGUUGAGAGUGCACGCUUAAUUUACAUGCAUGAAUUUGAUGCUAGAAUAUAAGUGAAUUUCACCUAAUCGUUAUGAACUUAUAUUCAUAAGUAGUAAAGGUUGCUAGUCACAAUCACGUUAAGUAAAUUCUUGGCAUAAGUUUCAUGCAAAUCAUAGUAACGAGUGCAUCGUCAAUGCUUAUGUUUUUCAUAGAACUUAAUGAUUCUUGCUUGUAUCUCUAUUAUGCAAUUCAUGUAGGGAACUUGUAGGGAAUGUUUUGGGUUGUCGUAUGCAAUCAUCCAACCCAAUAACUUGUGGAAAAACUGAGGGUUAAUUAGUGCAAUUCACGGUUAAUUUGGGGUGUUGAGUAUUCAUAGCUUAUCGAAAAGCAACUGGAAAUCAUUUUGUAUGCAAGUAUAACAUGUGUGGAGAAGAACCCUCUAGCUAGUCCGUCAUUUAUCAUUUUACCUUAAUUUUAUGUUUUUGUCAAUUCUGUAAUUUAAUUAAGUUUAAUUUACUUUUCAUCAAAACCAAACACCCAUCCAUUAUUAAAUUAUAUUAUUUAGUUAGUUUUCUUUAUUGUUAGUCUUUUAAUUUAAUUUCCGUCCAUUUCAGUUCCUAGUGUUUAAUUUAAUUGUUUUCAUUAUUUUGAGUCAUUUUAAGUGUGUUUCGAGUUAUUAGAGUUUUUAGCCUAGUUUUGUGUCCUUGAGUCUUGUUUAAUAUUUUUGAAUUAAUUUAGAAUAGAUUAGCAAUCCCUCCUAAUCCCCGGCAACGGCGCCAAAAUUUGGUGUGAGAAUUACUUGACACACAAAUUAAACCCUCUUUUUGACAGUUGUAGUAUAGUUGUAAGUAGGGUAUAAAGAGUAUAAAAAAUGACCAAAUUGAAAUUUUUUGUACCUUCAACUACGAACGAGUUUCAUUUGUUUCCAUGUUGUUGCUUUUUGUUUUCAUAAAAAAAAAAAAAUUUUAAAAAAAAAAAAAAAUUUAAAAAUCGGAAAAUUUAAAAAAAAAAAUCCAAAAAUAUUGUCUUGUUUCCCUUAUUGUUUUGAAUUAGAUUUUUGUUAGUUUCCCGACCCAAUGAUAUAAUUAGAUCAAAUUUGAAUCAUGAUUAUCAAGAACUUAGUUAACAUGUGUUUUGUGAAAUUCCUAAUUCUCUUGUUAGUUUUGUACAUGUUUGAUCAUCUUUGAAAAACCAAAUGCACAUAGCCUUGUUAAUGUGAAACUAAAGUAUGACUUAAAGCUUCAUAUGUGAAUUUAGUGACCAUAUACAUCCUAUGUGAGUUUUUGAGCCUAUUGAAAGUGUGUGCAUUUUUCAUACACUCCUAUUCUUUCAUGUGUGAUGAACUUAUGUGAAAUACAUCUCUAGAACUUGCGUAACGAUCUUUCGAAAUGUUUGUCAUUGAUUGCAUGAACUUGGAAAUGAUAGAGGCAUUAGGUUUACCACCAUGGCCCAAAUAACCAUGUAUCCCAAAGAAAAAAAUGAUAUUAUUAGAUUGCCAAUUUGAGCCGUGUAUGUUGAGCCUUUUAUUUCUUAUCACCAGAUAUGUCUACCCUUAUACCUGAAAUAUUUUUCCUUACCCUUUCCAAGCAAACUAGUGAGCAAUGUGAGAUUGUCUUAUGAGAAAUGUUUGUGAAGUACUUUGAGGGUGUUGGGCAAACGAAUAAGUGUGGGGGUAUUUCAUGUUUGUAUAAAAAUAAAAAAAAAAAAAAAAAAAAAAAAAAAAAAAAAAAAGAGAAAAGAAAAAGAAAAAGAAAGAUUGUAUACAAAGAAAAGAAAAAAAAAAUGUUUUUAAAGUUUCAGUUUAAGGGUGUGAUUGGAGGUUUCAGAAGAAUCGUUGGAGAGCUUGAGUUCUUAUAAAUCUAGACAAAAGAAUUGCUUGCAAUGUAGCUUGGAACUUGUGUUUUCCUAUUCUUUCAUUUCAAUAACCCUAUCCCUAAGCCUCAUUACAUCCAAUAAAAGUCCUCUUGAUUUAAGUUUUGCAAUUAUGACUGUGGAGAAGUGAUCUUUAUGCAAGCUUAUGGUAGAAAUUUCACAUUUGAUUCUUUGAGCGAAACACAUUAAAACUAAACACAUGUGUGAUUGAGUGCAUAUCCAGUGAGAAUGUCGCUAGUUUGCAUAUGAUGUUUUUAAAAAUAAAAACUUGAAAUUGCAUUAGCAUGGCUAUCUCACACACUACACUUCAAGGAUGAUUCAAAGAUUACUGCUAAUAUUUGAAUAAGGAAGAUGAACUUGGAUUAGUUUGUUGGUGCUAGCUAUGGUUCUUGAUGAUUUGUUUUCUCGAAUGAAAUUCUAUGAGGGUCACAUAGGGGGAAACUAAUGUUUUUCAUGUUAGUACUUUUUCAUGUUUUCUUUGUUUUGCUCGAGGACUAGCAAAAGCUAAGUAUGGGGGUAUUUGAUCGGAUCAUAUUUAUAUAUAUUUUUACUUCAAAUUCACUUGUCUUUUCUUAGUUAGUUCCUUAUAUUUUUGAGCUAUUUACGUUAUUUUUGUGUUUAUAGGAUUUGUUAUGCAAAGAAAAUAAAAAUGGCACAAAUGAGUUUUAAAUAAUAAAUUCGUCAAAACUAACAUUUCAUUCAUCCUUUCGACUGGCAAAUAAAAAAAAUAUAUAAGCAGCAUGAUGCGGCAAUGCUACAAAUCAAAUGAUUAAAACAAUAUGGUUGGACGUGAUCGGGACAACCGGAUAUUUAAUAUUGGAAAGGGUUAGUGAAAUGGGAAUGGUAGUGGAAUGGUGGGAACUUGUUUUGGUGCUAAAGGAGACGCACAAAGAAAAAGAAAAAAAAGAGUGGAAAGCUGCCUGUACAUAUCACACAUGCGUGCCUAUAUGGUAUAUGGACGCUAAGUUUAUCAGUGGAUUAAUUAAUAUAUGGCUAAUUCUGUGUUCUUUCAUGCAGGCUGAUGUCGACCAUUAAUUAGCCAAAGCUGCGUUUGGUGAGGGAAUAAUAGAAAAAGGGCUGCACCUUGCAGCACUAGAGAAUAAAAAACUAGAGCACCUUGUGGAGUGGAACGAAAAAGAAAACAAAAGGAAUAAAAGUUGGCAGCUUGCGUGAGAAAAAAAAAAAAAAAGGAUAUAAGGAUCGCUGCCUUGCAGCGUGGAGGGGGCUCGGCAUUUUUGUGCAGUGUGUGUGUGCUGCCCUUUGGGCAGUACCUGGAGGCCUCGGGGAAAAAAUAGAAGAAGCUGCCUCUUGUGCAACACGUGAAGAGGGAGAGGGCCUCAGCAGAGAAGGUACAAGCUGCCUUUGCAGCUGGGCAGUACCGAGAAGAAGUCAGAGAAGGUGCGAGAAAAGAAAAACAAAACUCUGCUGCCCGUGGCAGCAAGGCAGAGGAGCAGUCGGCCCUUGCGCAGCGACUGGAAGAGCAAAACAGAAGCACUUAUCUUUUGGUUAAAUCUUUCCAAACUUUUAUUUUAUUUCUGUUUUUAAUAAUGUGUAAUUAAAUUUAUGUUGGCUAGAGGUUAAUUCAAAACCAUGAAUAUAUUUGUAAUAUGAAUUGAUUACCUUCGGUUGUGAUUUCAUAAGUUGUGAAUUCAAUUUACUUAUCCGUUCGUAUAAAAACUGAUUUGUGUAUGUUGGUUGAGAGUGCAC
rnacentral:lncRNA from 1 species